rnacentral:rRNA from 1 species
GACGUAGGAGGCAAGCGUUAUCCGGAGUUACUGGGCGUAAAGCGCGUGCAGGCGGCCUGGUAAGUGGGUCGUGAAAGCGCCCGGCUAAACUGGGCGAGGACGAUCGAGACUGCCAGGCUAGAGGGUGGUAGAGGGACAGGGAAUUCCGGGUGUAGCGGUGAAAUGUGUAGAGAUCCGGAGGAACACCAGUGGCGAAGGCGCUGUCCUGGGCCACCACUGACGCUGAGGCGCGAAGGCGUGGGGAGCGAACGGG